GACGAACGCUGGCGGCGUGCUUAACACAUGCAAGUCGAACGGAAAGGCCCUGCUUUUGUGGGGUGCUCGAGUGGCGAACGGGUGAGUAACACGUGAGUAACCUGCCCUUGACUUUGGGAUAACUUCAGGAAACUGGGGCUAAUACCGGAUAGGAGCUCCUGCUGCAUGGUGGGGGUUGGAAAGUUUCGGCGGUUGGGGAUGGACUCGCGGCUUAUCAGCUUGUUGGUGGGGUAGUGGCUUACCAAGGCUUUGACGGGUAGCCGGCCUGAGAGGGUGACCGGCAACAUUGGGACUGAGAGACGGCCCGGACGCCUACGGGGGGCAGCAGGGGGGAAUAUGGCACAAGGGGGGGAAGCCGGAUGCAGCAACGCCGCGUGGGGGAUGACGGCUUUCGGGUUGUAAACCGCUUUCGCCUGGAACGAAGGGUGAGGGAGGGUAAGGGGUAAAGAAGCACCGGCUAACUACGUG
rnacentral:rRNA from 1 species